rnacentral:rRNA from 1 species
GACGAACCGUGCGAACGUUGUUCGGAAUCACUGGGCUUAAAGGGAGCGUAGGCGGGCUGCCAAGUCCGGGGUGAAAUCCUCCAGCUUAACUGGAGAACUGCCUCGGAUACUGGAAGUCUCGAGGAGGGUAGGGGCAAGUGGAACCGUGGGUGGAGCGGUGAAUGACGUUGAUAUCCAUGGGAACUCCGGUGGCGAAGGCGACUGCGUGGACCCUUCUGACGCUGAGGCUCGAAGCCAGGGAGCAACGG